rnacentral:rRNA from 1 species
UACGUAGGGUGCGAGCGUUGUCCGGAAUUAUUGGGCGUAAAGAGCUCGUAGGCGGCUUGUCACGUCGGAUGUGAAAGCUCGGGGCUUAACCCCGAGUCUGCAUUCGAUACGGGCUAGCUAGAGUGUGGUAGGGGAGAUCGGAAUUCCUGGUGUAGCGGUGAAAUGCGCAGAUAUCAGGAGGAACACCGGUGGCGAAGGCGGGUCUCUGGGCCGAUACUGACGCUGAGGAGCGAAAGCGUGGGGAGCGAACAGG